GAUGAACGCUAGCGGCAGGCUUAACACAUGCAAGUCGAGGGGUAGGAGAAGCUUGCUUUUCUGAGACCGGCGCACGGGUGCGUAACGCGUAUGCAAUCUACCUUUCACAGAGGGAUAGCCCAGAGAAAUUUGGAUUAAUACCUCAUAGUAAUACGACUUGGCAUCAAGAUGUAUUUAAAGAUUUAUCGGUGAAAGAUGAGCAUGCGUCCCAUUAGCUAGUUGGUAUGGUAACGGCAUACCAAGGCAACGAUGGGUAGGGGUCCUGAGAGGGAGAUCCCCCACACUGGUACUGAGACACGGACCAGACUCCUACGGGAGGCAGCAGUGAGGAAUAUUGGACAAUGGGCGCAAGCCUGAUCCAGCCAUGCCGCGUGCAGGAUGACGGUCCUAUGGAUUGUAAACUGCUUUUAUACAGGAAGAAACACCUCUACGUGUAGAGACUUGACGGUACUGUAAGAAUAAGGAUCGGCUAACUCCGUGCCAGCAGCCGCGGUAAUACGGAGGAUCCAAGCGUUAUCCGGAAUCAUUGGGUUUAAAGGGUCCGUAGGCGGUCAGGUAAGUCAGUGGUGAAAGCCCAUCGCUCAACGGUGGAACGGCCAUUGAUACUGUCUGACUUGAAUUAUUAGGAAGUAACUAGAAUAUGUAGUGUAGCGGUGAAAUGCUUAGAGAUUACAUGGAAUACCAAUUGCGAAGGCGGGUUACUACUAAUUGAUUGACGCUGAUGGACGAAAGCGUGGGUAGCGAACAGGAUUAGAUACCCUGGUAGUCCACGCCGUAAACGAUGGAUACUAGCUGUUGGGAGCAAUCUCAGUGGCUAAGCGAAAGUGAUAAGUAUCCCACCUGGGGAGUACGAACGCAAGUUUGAAACUCAAAGGAAUUGACGGGGGCCCGCACAAGCGGUGGAGCAUGUGGUUUAAUUCGAUGAUACGCGAGGAACCUUACCAAGGCUUAAAUGUAGAUUGACCGGUUGGAAACAG
rnacentral:rRNA from 1 species